rnacentral:rRNA from 1 species
UAGGGAAUUUUCCACAAUGGGGCAGCCUGAUCGAGCAAUGCGCAGUCGAGUGAAGACAGCAAUUUCGUUGUGUAAAGCUCUGUUGUAAGGGAAGAAUAAGGAAGAGAGGGAAUGCUCUUUCGAUGACGGUACCUACCAGAAAGCCACGGCUAACUACGUGCCAGCAGCCGCGGUAAUACGUAGGUGGCAAGCGUUAUCCGGAAAUUAUUGGGCGUAAAGGGUGCGCAGGCGGUAAGAUAAGUUUGAGGUAAAAGGUCACAGCUCAACUGUGGUAGGCCUUGAAAACUGUUUUACUAGAGUGCAGGAGAGGGUGAUGGAAUUCCAUGUGUAGCGGUAAAAUGCGUAGAUAUAUGGAGGAACACCAGUGGCGAAGGCGGUCACCUGGCCUGUAAACUGACGCUCAAGCACGAAAAGCGUGGGGAGCAAAUAGGAUUAGAUACC